rnacentral:lncRNA from 1 species
UUGUUUUGAUACUGACUUUAGAUUUUCCUGUACACACAUUGCAUAUAUAUCUUUUACAAUUCAUAUAAUAUCAAUUACCAUCCCAAAUCACUCACGACAUACUGUCAUGACAGAAAAUCCAAGUCACAAGUUCGUUCAAUACAACAAUAAGGUUUAUAUUUAACCUCCUUAUACUUAUAGUACUCUUUUCCGUCCUAAGACUUAUUCCAUAUUGUAAACGUAAUCUAUAAAAUAACCUUAUUAAAUUAAUAAAC